rnacentral:rRNA from 1 species
AUUGAACGCUGGCGGCAGGCCUAACACAUGCAAGUCGAACGAGUGGCGGACGGGUGAGUAAUGUAUGGGAAACUGCCCGAUGGAGGGGGAUAACUACUGGAAACGGUAGCUAAUACCGCAUACCAUCGGAUGAACCCAUAUGGGAUUAGCUAGUAGGUGGGGUAACGGCUCACCUAGGCGACGAUCCCUAUCUGGUCGGAGAGGCGGAUCAACCACACUGUGACUGAGUCACGGUCCAGACACCUACGGGAGUCAUCAGUUGGGAAUAUUGCACACUGGGCGCAAGCCUGAUUCAGCCAUGCCGCGUGUAUGAAGAAGGCCUUCGGGUUGUAAAGUACUUUCAGCGGGGAGGCGUUACCCGCAGAAGAAGCACCGGCUAGCUCCGUGCCAGCAGCCGCAGUGAUUC